GACGAACGCUGGCGGCGUGUUUAACACAUGCAAGUCGAACGAUGAACCCGGAGCUUGCUCCGGCGGAUUAGUGGCGAACGGGUGAGUAACACGUGAGUAACCCGCCCUUGACUCUGGGAUAACUGCGGGAAACUGUAGCUAAUACCGGAUACGACCCUCGGCGGCAUCGCCAGGGGGUGGAAAGAAUUUCGGUCAAGGAUGGACUCGCGGCCUAUCAGCUAGUUGGUGAGGUAACGGCUCACCAAGGCGACGACGGGUAGCCGGCCUGAGAGGGUGACCGGCCACACUGGGACUGAGACACGGCCCAGACUCCUACGGGAGGCAGCAGUGGGGAAUAUUGCACAAUGGGCGCAAGCCUGAUGCAGCAACGCCGCGUGAGGGAUGACGGCCUUCGGGUUGUAAACCUCUUUUAGUAGGGAAGAAGCGAAAGUGACGGUACCUGCAGAGAAAGCACCGGCUAACUACGUGCCAGCCGCCGCAGUAA
rnacentral:rRNA from 1 species